GACGAACGCUGGCGGCGUGCCUAAUACAUGCAAGUAGAACGCUGAAGAGAGGAGCUUGCUCUUCUUGGAUGAGUUGCGAACGGGUGAGUAACGCGUAGGUAACCUGCCUUGUAGCGGGGGAUAACUAUUGGAAACGAUAGCUAAUACCGCAUAACAAUGGAUGACACAUGUCAUUUAUUUGAAAGGGGCAAUUGCUCCACUACAAGAUGGACCUGCGUUGUAUUAGCUAGUAGGUGAGGUACUGGCUCACCUAGGCGACGAUACAUAGCCGACCUGAGAGGGUGAUCGGCCACACUGGGACUGAGACACGGCCCAGACUCCUACGGGAGGCAGCAGUAGGGAAUCUUCGGCAAUGGGGGCAACCCUGACCGAGCAACGCCGCGGGAGUGAAGAAGGUUUUCGGAUCGUAAAGUUCUGUUGUAAGUCAAGAACGGGUGUGAGAGUGGAAAGUUCACACUGUGACGGUAGCUUACCAGAAAGGGACGGCUAACUACGUG
rnacentral:rRNA from 1 species